rfam:Amycolatopsis orientalis HCCB10007, complete genome.
CUUGACCGAACCGAGCCACAGCGGAUGCUCGCGUUCCCCGCCGUAAGCGGCGAGCAAGGCCUGUGCCUC